GCACCAAUGGUCUUGUGGUAGAAUAGUACCCUGCCACAGUACAGACCCGGGUUUAAUUCCCGGCUGGUGCA
rnacentral:tRNA from 1 species